UCCGGUGAAAGAGGGGGUGCACAGACACUUGGGGUUCUUGUGGCCAGAGAUGCAGGUGCCUCCAUUGCGGCAGUGGAGGCUGCCGCAGGCCUGGGCGUCAUAUUCACAUGUGGAGCCAGUAAAGCCCUGGAUAAAAAGUACUCACAGGAGGACAUUUGCAGAUGAAGCCAUAUUGGGUGUUGCUGGCUACAGCGCAGGUCCCUCCAUUGCGACACGGUUUCCCCUUACAUCCAUCAAACACUGUGUCACAGCGUUGACCUACGGAGGUGACGGACACAAACAUUGUUUCAAAAGACCACUUUUAUAAAAUACCUCCAACAGCAUGUCAGCAUUUUUGGGAUACACCCAACUCCGCUGGCACUUUGGGCUGACCGACAACACACCCUCCCUUCAUGUGUGAGAGGAAAAUCAAUGGUGUAUUUGACAAGCAGAGGAAAGGAUGGAGGCAAGACGGGAGGAGGAGUUUUGCAGACAUGCCCUGGCUGCUGUUAAGCCCUAAUUAAUGAAGUGUGGAAACAAGGGAGGAGAGGAUGGAGAGGCAGAGUGGUGUGGAGGAGUGUGUGUGGGGUCCGCUGACCUUGGGUUCCCCGGGGACAGGAGCAUUUGUAGGUAUUGAUCAGGUCAAUGCAGGUGCCCCCGUUCUGGCAUGGCUGAGAGAAACAUUCAUUGAUCUCGUCAGAGCAGUUGGUCCCCACGUAUCCGGGCAGGCACUGAGAGAGAGAAGAAGAAGAAGAAGAAGAAGAAGAAGAAGAAGAAGAAGAAGAAGGAGCCGAGAAGGAGGAAGAAAAGGAAGGCGGAGGAAGAAGAGAAGGGAAAGUUUAAUCAAUGUGUGACAUGAAACAAAGAUGUUUUUUUGUUUACCUGGCUGUUUUCUAGCCUCCAUCCUGCCAAGGCCAGCAGAUCCUUUAUUCCAGAGGAGAUUAACAUAACCAAGCUGUUUGUCUCCUAUUUAUAACCAGGCCUCUUCAUUAGGACAGCCUAGGGUUGUUUUAGCUGAAACGAUGCCUGCUGUACAUCCAGGCAUUUUAACAAAUUCUUGAUACAAAAUAAAGGUUUGAGAUAAAAAAAGAUUUUUAAAAGAAGUGUGCAAGUCUGAUGAAGUUACAUAACGUAAUAAGACCUUUGAAAUACCGAGUGGAAUGGCAUUUAAAGCUCAAUUUGCAAUUCAAAUCAACAUUGGUUUAAAAGACACAGCAUGGUUUGGCUGAUUAUCACCAUAAAAAUGUCAAAUCACAAAAUUAGGAUAAAUCUACAAGUUCCUAAAAAAGGAAUAUACAUGUUACAAUUAUGUUUAGACUUGAUGCAUUCUCAGAAGGACAACAUAAAAAAAAGAUUGCAAUGACAUGAUUUUGGAAUUCAUAUUUCAGUAGCAUUUUACAUUGAAAUUCAAACAACUGGAUUUUCUUUAGUGCUGUUACCUUGCAGGUGUAUCCGCCUAAAAAGUCGGUACAGGUGGCUCCGUUUUGGCAGGGGUUCGGGGUGCAUUCGUCCACCUGCUCCUCACAGUAACUCCCAGUAUAUCCAACCUGGCAGUGGCAGUAGUGAACGUCUCCUGCGUCCAGACACUGACCCGAAUUACGACACAGAUGGGCAACAUCGACUCCUACGCAGACAGGAUGAGACGGAGACACUUGGGACGUCACAAUAAAGUCCCCUCCAGCCAGUCUCACACUCGCAGUUGUAGGAGGUUCCCCUCUGCCAGCAUGUUCCCUCGUUCUUACAGGGGGACAAGUCGCACCAG